AGGUAUUCGACACACUGCUUUUCUUUCAGGUCCCAUUGUUCUUUGACCUUCAGAGAUCUGGAAUCCUAAAUACUUGACAGUUGGCUGACACAAUUGCACCUUCUUCCUUGAUACCUUGUAUCCUGCCCUCCAAAGAAAAUGGAGUAGAUCAUGGGUUGCUUGUUGGCACAUCUCUUUAGUAACUGCGGCUAUCGAGAUCCUCCACGUACUGAAGUAAUACACAUUCCCUUGGAAUGGAUUUGAAGUCUUGUAAAUCUUGACUCGGUGCAGAUCCAAAUAGGGUAGGUGAAUUCUUGAAUCCUUGAGGCAACCUGGUCCAAGUCAUCUGACGCUUUGAUCCCGUAACAGCAUCUUCCCAUUGAAAAGCAAAGAUGCACUGACUUUCAACAGCAAGUCAAAGGCAG